GGUUAAGCGACUAAGCGUACACGGUGGAUGCCCUGGCAGUCAGAGGCGAUGAAGGACGUGCUAAUCUGCGAAAAGCGCCGGCGAGGUGAUAUGAACCCUUGACCCGGCGAUGUCCGAAUGGGGAAACCCAGUGCAAUCCGUUGCACUAUCGUUAACUGAAUACAUAGGUUAACGAGGCGAACCGGGGGAACUGAAACAUCUAAGUACCCCGAGGAAAAGAAAUCAACCGAGAUUCCCCCAGUAGCGGCGAGCGAACGGGGAGCAGCCCGGAGUCUGAAUCAGCUUGUGUGUUAGUGGAACGGUCUGGAAAGUCCGACGGUACAGGGUGAUAGUCCCGUACACGAAAGCACACUUGCUGUGAACUCGAAGAGUAGGGCGGGACACGUGGUAUCCUGUCUGAAUAUGGGGGGACCAUCCUCCAAGGCUAAAUACUCCUGACUGACCGAUAGUGAACCAGUACCGUGAGGGAAAGGCGAAAAGAACCCCGGCGAGGGGAGUGAAAAAGAACCUGAAACCGUGUACGUACAAGCAGUGGGAGCCUCUUUAUGGGGUGACUGCGUACCUUUUGUAUAAUGGGUCAGCGACUUAUAUUCUGUAGCAAGGUUAACCGUAUAGGGGAGCCGAAGGGAAACCGAGUCUUAACUGGGCGUUAAGUUGCAGGGUAUAGACCCGAAACCCGGUGAUCUAGCCAUGGGCAGGUUGAAGGUUGGGUAACACUAACUGGAGGACCGAACCGACUAAUGUUGAAAAAUUAGCGGAUGACCUGUGGCUGGGGGUGAAAGGCCAAUCAAACCGGGAGAUAGCUGGUUCUCCCCGAAAGCUAUUUAGGUAGCGCCUCGUGAACUCAUCUUCGGGGGUAGAGCACUGUUUCGGCUAGGGGGCCAUCCCGGCUUACCAACCCGAUGCAAACUACGAAUACCGAAGAAUGUUAUCACGGGAGACACACGGCGGGUGCUAACGUCCGUCGUGAAGAGGGAAACAACCCAGACCGCCAGCUAAGGUCCCAAAGUCAUGGUUAAGUGGGAAACGAUGUGGGAAGGCACAGACAGCCAGGAUGUUGGCUUAGAAGCAGCCAUCAUUUAAAGAAAGCGUAAUAGCUCACUGGUCGAGUCGGCCUGCGCGGAAGAUGUAACGGGGCUAAACCAUGCACCGAAGCUGCGGCAGCGACACUAUGUGUUGUUGGGUAGGGGAGCGUUCUGUAAGCCGUUGAAGGUGUGCUGUGAGGCAUGCUGGAGGUAUCAGAAGUGCGAAUGCUGACAUAAGUAACGAUAAAGCGGGUGAAAAGCCCGCUCGCCGGAAGACCAAGGGUUCCUGUCCAACGUUAAUCGGGGCAGGGUGAGUCGACCCCUAAGGCGAGGCCGAAAGGCGUAGUCGAUGGGAAACAGGUUAAUAUUCCUGUACUUGGUGUUACUGCGAAGGGGGGACGGAGAAGGCUAUGUCAGCCGGGCGACGGUUGUCCCGGUUUAAGCAUGUAGGCGGAGGUUCCAGGUAAAUCCGGUACCUUUUAACGCUGAGGUGUGAUGACGAGGCACUACGGUGCUGAAGUGAUAAAUGCCCUGCUUCCAGGAAAAGCCUCUAAGCAUCAGGUAACACGAAAUCGUACCCCAAACCGACACAGGUGGUCAGGUAGAGAAUACCAAGGCGCUUGAGAGAACUCGGGUGAAGGAACUAGGCAAAAUGGUGCCGUAACUUCGGGAGAAGGCACGCUGAUGUGUAGGUGAAGCCCCUGCGGGCGGAGCUGAAAUCAGUCGAAGAUACCAGCUGGCUGCAACUGUUUAUUAAAAACACAGCACUGUGCAAACACGAAAGUGGACGUAUACGGUGUGACGCCUGCCCGGUGCCGGAAGGUUAAUUGAUGGGGUUAGCGGCAACGCGAAGCUCUUGAUCGAAGCCCCGGUAAACGGCGGCCGUAACUAUAACGGUCCUAAGGUAGCGAAAUUCCUUGUCGGGUAAGUUCCGACCUGCACGAAUGGCGUAAUGAUGGCCAGGCUGUCUCCACCCGAGACUCAGUGAAAUUGAACUCGCUGUGAAGAUGCAGUGUACCCGCGGCAAGACGGAAAGACCCCGUGAACCUUUACUAUAGCUUGACACUGAACACUGGUCCUUGAUGUGUAGGAUAGGUGGGAGGCUUUGAAGCGUGGACGCCAGUCUGCGUGGAGCCGUCCUUGAAAUACCACCCUUUAAUGGCUGGUGUUCUAACGUAGACCCGUAAUCCGGGUUGCGGACAGUGUCUGGUGGGUAGUUUGACUGGGGCGGUCUCCUCCCAAAGAGUAACGGAGGAGCACGAAGGUUGGCUAAUCCUGGUCGGACAUCAGGAGGUUAGUGCAAUGGCAUAAGCCAGCUUGACUGCGAGCGUGACGGCGCGAGCAGGUGCGAAAGCAGGUCAUAGUGAUCCGGUGGUUCUGAAUGGAAGGGCCAUCGCUCAACGGAUAAAAGGUACUCCGGGGAUAACAGGCUGAUACCGCCCAAGAGUUCAUAUCGACGGCGGUGUUUGGCACCUCGAUGUCGGCUCAUCACAUCCUGGGGCUGAAGUAGGUCCCAAGGGUAUGGCUGUUCGCCAUUUAAAGUGGUACGCGAGCUGGGUUUAGAACGUCGUGAGACAGUUCGGUCCCUAUCUGCCGUGGGCGCUGGAGAAUUGAGGGGGGCUGCUCCUAGUACGAGAGGACCGGAGUGGACGCAUCACUGGUGUUCGGGUUGUCAUGCCAAUGGCACUGCCCGGUAGCUAAAUGCGGAAGAGAUAAGUGCUGAAAGCAUCUAAGCACGAAACUUGCCCCGAGAUGAGUUCUCCCUGAGACUUUAAGUCUCCUGAAGGAACGUUGAAGACGACGACGUUGAUAGGUCGGGUGUGUAAGCGCAGCGAUGCGUUGAGCUAACCGAUACUAAUGAACCGUGAGGCUUAACCUU
rnacentral:rRNA from 1 species